rnacentral:rRNA from 1 species
GACGAACGCUGGCGGCGUGCUUAACACAUGCAAGUCGAACGGACAGGCCCUGCUUUUGUGGGGUGCUCGUUUGGCGCACGGGUGUGUGACACGUGAGUAUCCUGUCCUUGUCUUUGUGGUAAAUUCUGGGAACUGGGGAUCUUAUCGCAUAUGAUAUCUUGAUGCGUAGUGGUGGUUGGUAAGUUUCGGUGGUUCGGGAUGGUAUCGCGGCUUAUCCGCUUGUUUGUGGGGUUGGGGAUUACGAAGGCUUUGACGGGUAGCCGGCCUGAGAGGGGGACCGGCGACAAUGGGACUGAGAGACGGCCCAGACGCCUACGGGAGGCAGCAGGGGGGAAUAUGGCAAAAUGAGCGGAAGCCGGAUGCAGCAACGCCGCGUGCGGGAUGACGUCCUUCUGGUGGUAAACCGCUGUCGCCGGUGACGAAGCGUGAGUGACGGUAAUGGGUAAAGAAGCAACGGCUAACUACGUG